UAAGAUCCUGAGGAGGCAGGAGAGAGACAGGGAAGGAGUAUGGGUAGGGGCAGGGGGGGCCCUGGCCUCCAAUUCCUCCUUCGCUUGCCUCCUGGAGCCUCGAGGGGUCUCAGGCAGCAUCAUCCCAGUCUACUGUAUCCUCCUGGGCACUGUGGUCCUCGGUCUGCUUGCCUACGUGGCCUUCAAGUGCUGGUGCUCACAUAAGCAAAGACAGCAGCUGGCUAAAGCUUGAACUGCAGAGCUGGGAGGGCUCAACAACGACCAGAUGCAUGGGGAUAGCAGUGUCUUCCUGGACUCUCCUAGCAGUCUAGAGUCCUGUGCCUCCAGCCAGGGACCACAUCCUGAGCUUGGCUGCGACUUUAUCAUCUUCCUCGGUGGCACCAGGAUAAAGUGGAGCGGCUGAGGAAUGUCAGAUGAACCUGACAAGGGCUGGUGGGGACUGGCAGGCUGUCUGGGCCACUGGGCUGAGGCUGCAGAAACCAUGGCCCAGGGCCAGGUGCAAGCCUACACUCUGCUGAGGGACUGGGCUAUCCAAGAAGGCAGUGGUACCACCCUCAAGGUGCUACAGAAUGCCCUGGUUGCCAAGGGCCAUGAAGAUGUGGUCCAGGUCCUGGGCCCCCCAGCUGAGGGCUGCUCUGUGGUGUGAGUGCUGCCCCCGUAGCCUACCCUGGUGCUCCCCUACCUCUGUCUCAGAUACCUUCCCCUUCGUGGGCUUCCUGGGGUUGCUGGCCUCAGCCUGCUCUGUUCUGGGAAAGAACACCGAAGAUUAAGCCGCCGUUCACUUCCCCUCACCCACCCAUCCCCUCCAGAAGAGGGCAGUGAGGGGUGGUCCUACCCUUUGGAUCCCUACUCCACCUCCCCUUAUUAAGCCUCGGCUGGAUUUGCUACUUUUGUAUCCCAUAUUAAAGGUGAU